rnacentral:rRNA from 1 species
UACGUAGGCAGCAAGCGUUGUUCGGAAUUACUGGGCGUAAAGAGUGUGUAGGCGGUGCUCUAAGUUUGGUGUGAAAUCUCCCGCUUAACUGGGAGGGUGCGCCGAAAACUGGAAUGCUUGAACAUGGGAGAGGAAAGCGGAAUUCCUGGUGUAGCGGUGAAAUGCGUAGAUAUCGGGAAGAACACCCGUGGCGAAGGCGGCUCUCUGGACCGUAACUGACGCUGAGGCGCGAAAGCGUGGGGAGCAAACAGGGAGUUAGAACCAUCCGAGAACUUCC